ACCAUUCCUUGCCAUGGGUGACACAACUAGGACCCCUUUUCCUCUUCUGCUUCUACCACAAGAAAUCAUCAGCAUUACUCUUCGACAAAUGUGCCUCAUUGAGCAACGACUUUUUCAAUUUCUUCGCAGAUGUAAAGCUAAAUUUCGCUCACAAUCCCGUUGGUUUUCGCAACUUCUUCGCAAGAAAUACGAUUCUCGAUCUCUCUACUCUCAGCAAAAGCGAAAACUGCGGUUGCCAGAGUCAACGGGAACCACGAAAGUGUGUCAUUCUCUGAUUCGACAAUCAGGCUGAGGUCCAGUCUCAAUGACAGAUAUUGUCCAGCAAGUGAUGUCGUAGCGGAUAACAUCACGGUUAUCCGGCCAGAACCGCUGCCCAAGACAACGACUAGGCCUGCCAACGUUUGGAGGUCACGAUGCAAGCGCGCCCCACCGGACGGCGCGCGGAUCUGAAUUGCCGGCGCCAACUCUAAUUGUCAUCAUUCUCGACUUUUCUUGGCCCCGCCCAAUUCCCCUAUAUAAGGAGCCGGAAACGCUCAUUCUAGGUCUUCUCUAAUUCCUUUUACUUGUGUUACUUAUCGUCCUUUUCCCCUCCUUACAUGUCCCAUUAACUCGGUGAUUUCUCUAUUAAUUUAUCCUUAAUAAACCGUAAUAACCUCAAAACCUCCAACUCUUAUUAUUCUUUAAAGAAUUAAUUUGGAAGAAACCCCAAAAUAACAGCUUCAAGUUGACUCCCAAACCUUAUGUUAUUUCAGAUUCUCGAUCUCGCUACUCUCAGCAAAAGCGAAAACUGCGGUUGCCAGAGUCAACGGGAACCACGAAAGUUUGACAUUCUCUGAUUCGACAAUCAGGCUGAGGUCCAGUCUCAAUGACAGAUAUUUAUUCAUAUUUAAAGAAAAUCCACCGAGGGUGGUAGCUAGAAGGAAUAUGCGAGGAUCUGAAGACGAAAUCGAGAUUCCUCACCUCACACUUAUCAAGUUCCUGGACCACAUCCACGAGGUUUUGCAUCAGAACCGGCAAAUCCACAUUAACCUCGAAAAUGGGAUGAAUGAAGAGAUAAAAACGAUUUGUUCUCUCUUUGAGAACAGGAAGAUCGCGAGCUGCAGCACCACAUCCACGGAAGUUCAGGGGCACCAUCUCUUCGGGACUCAUCCAGAGAACCUGGAGAUUGUCGUGGUCCCAAUAAGAAAAGAACUCUUGGUUCAAAAUUAUGAGGAGCUGAAAGUCACCAAUCUCACACUGAACGAGGUGUUCUUGUCAAAUAGUCGAACGCUUCGUUCAUUGCACCACUCAAUGACUGCAAAGGAUGUCAACUUGUUCUUGAAGAUCUGGAUUCAGAACUCACAGCUGAGAAUCAGUGAUCUUGUUGUAGAUGGUCUGAAUAUUGAGCAUCCUGUACAUGGAACUAUUCUCCGCGGAAUAGACUUUACUAGAUACGAAGAUCCUCUGGUCGUGGAUGAUGGAAUGGUUCAACACGUCCAAAUUGUGUGCAAAAGAGGGAUCAAGGCAAAGGUUUCCCUCACCAGAACUACUGUUCGAUUCGUCCGGCUGGCCGACGAUGAGUAA